rnacentral:rRNA from 1 species
UACAGAGGUGGCAAGCGUUGUUCGGAAUUACUGGGCGUAAAGGGCUCGUAGGCGGCCAACUAAGUCGGAUGUGAAAUCCCCAGGCUCAACUUGGGAACUGCAUCCGAUACUGGAUGGCUUGAAUCCGGGAGAGGGAUGCAGAAUUCCAGGUGUAGCGGUGAAAUGCGUAGAGAUCAGGAGGAACACCUAUGGCGAAAGCAGGUUACUGGCCCAAUACUGACACUGAGCUGCGAAAGCUAGGGGAGCAAACAGG